rnacentral:pre_miRNA from 1 species
AACCCGUAGAUCCGAUCUUGUGGUGACUUGAACCCACACAAGCUCGCUUCUAUGGGUCUG